GAGGGUAGAGCUCAAUGGUAGAGUGUGUGCUUAGCAUGCAUGAGGUCCUGGGUUCAAUCCCCAGUACCUCCU
rnacentral:tRNA from 1 species